UACGUAGGGUGCAAGCGUUGUCCGGAAUUAUUGGGCGUAAAGAGCUCGUAGGCGGUCUGUCGCGUCGGCUGUGAAAUCCCCGAGGCUCAACCUCGGGUCUGCAGUCGAUACGGGCAAACUAGAGUAUUGCAGGGGGAGACUGGAAUUCCUGGUGUAGCGGUGGAAUGCGCAGAUAUCAGGAGGAACACCGGUGGCGAAGGCGGGUCUCUGGGCAGUAACUGACGCUGAGGAGCGAAAGCGUGGGGAGCGAACAGG
rnacentral:rRNA from 1 species